UCGACUAAGCCAUGCGAGUCGAAUGUAGCAAUACAUGGCGAACUGCUCAGUAACACGUGGACAACCUGCCCUUAGGUUGGGUAUAAACCCGGGAAACUGGGUAUAAUACCCGAUAGGUCUCGAUUGCUGGAAUGCAUCGAGAUUUAAAGCUCCGGCGCCUAAGGAUGGGUCUGCGGCCUAUCAGGUAGUAGUGGGUGUAGCGUACCUACUAGCCUACGACGGGUACGGGUUGUGAGAGCAAGAGCCCGGAGAUGGAUUCUGAGACACGAAUCCAGGCCCUACGGGGUGCAGCAGGCGCGAAAACUUUACAAUGCUGGCAACAGCGAUAAGGGAACCUCGAGUGCCAGGUUACAAAUCUGGCUGUCGAGAUGCCUAAAAAGCAUUUCAUAGCAAGGGCCGGGCAAGACCGGUGCCAGCCGCCGCGGUAACACCGGCGGCUCGAGUGGUAACCGUUAUUAUUGGGUCUAAAGGGUCUGUAGCCGGCCGGAUAAGUCUCUUGAGAAAUCUGGCAGCUUAACUGUCAGGCUUUCAGGAGAUACUGUCUGGCUCGAGGCCGGGAGAGGUGAGAGGUACUUCAGGGGUAGGGGGUGAAAUCUUGUAAUCCUUGAAGGACCACCAGUGGCGAAUGCGUCUCACCAGAACGG
rnacentral:rRNA from 1 species